AAUCUAUCGGUGGCGCGGUCAGAGGGCGCGGGGUGCCCCUCUCGGCUGCAGUCGGCGGCGUGCGCCCGCGCCCCUCGCACGCUGCACGCUGCACCGAUGCGCCCUCGCCGUCCCCGGACCCGCACACGUGCACUCGCCACAUCUGUCACUUCUCUCUGCUACUUGGAUGGACUUGUUGCAUUGAUUUGCGAAGCCGUCUCUCGCCUGCACAUACCAGUACACACGUGACCCCCAUGCUUGCGCCUCGCCAAUGGAGCUCGGCGAUAUAAUAGCGGCUCAGGCAAAAGUCCGACAUCUGCGUCAUCCUUUCCAGCCGGUUGUCGAUCCUGCCAUCGAAACAUAUUUCAAUCGUAAAGGAAAACUGAUGACUUGCAAGUUACAAGGAAUCAUAACGGAAUCGAUGCGAAAUAUUGCGAUGUAGAGAAAACUGGAUUUGUUUCUUGUAAAGAAAAUCCAACAAAGCUGCACUGAUAUAGUGAUUCGGGAGGCGCGAGGCGGGCGAGGAACGAUGGUGUGCGAGAUGAGGCUGAGUCAGCAUGAUGUCAUAUGGUAUGCAGAUAAUUGGAGCGUCCCGGCGCACGUCACAUCCCAUUCCCGCCGCAUACUUCACCCAAUCGAGUGAUGACAAAUCCAUUCACAUUAGCGACUCUAUUAUGCCUGAUGAUGGUCCAAUAAAGGAUCGAAACGUCGCAUGAAUUUGCAAUUAGUGGUUUGAUUGGCACCUUAUGUCCACUUGCCUGCGAACCGUCAAAAAAUACUCAUAACAAAUGGACACAACGAUAAAUAAUUAAAAAUAAUAUUUUUACUUCUAUAUCUAUAUACUCGUAUCUAUAAU
rnacentral:misc_RNA from 1 species